rnacentral:lncRNA from 1 species
GAGCUGCUAGGUUGGUGAACACAUGGAGGUGCGGGGAGGGUGGCGAGCCCAGCGAGGACGUGGAUUCCCCACGGCCCUUCCCACAUACCCCGUUCUUUCAUUUGGCUGUUUCUGAGUUGUGUGCUUUAUAAUCAACUGACAAUGGUCCUAUGUCCCUUCCUCUUAAAUUUGGGCAGAAUUUGUGACUUCUUUGUCCAACAAAAUAUCGCAGAAGUGAUGCUGUACCAGACUGAAAAAGAGUGGCAGUUUCUAGCUGUGGUAUCUUGGAUCCAAAGAAUCAAUGACCCCAUACAACAGACCCAGUAGAGUUCCCAGGAAACAGCCAGCACCAGCCAUGUUGGUAAGAUAUCUUGAAAAUAGAUACUUCAGCCCACUUGAGCCACCACAGCUCA